rnacentral:rRNA from 1 species
GACGAACGCUGGCGGCGUGCCUAACACAUGCAAGUCGAGCGAAGUGAGUACUACGGUACGAACUUAGCGGCGGACGGGUGAGUAACGCGUGGACAAUCUACUCUGUAGACUGGGAUAACACCUCGAAAGGGGUGCUAAUACCGGAUAAUGUCGAGAAGCGGCAUCGCUUUUCGAAGAAAGGAGAGAAUCCGCUAUAGGAGGAGUCCGCGUCCCAUUAGCUAGUUGGUGAGGGUAACGGCCCACCAAGGCGACGAUGGGUAGCCGGCCUGAGAGGGUGAACGGCCACACCGGAACUGAGACACGGUCCAGACUCCUACGGGAGGCAGCAGUGGGGAAUAUUGUGCAAUGGGGGAAACCCUGACACAGCAACGCCGCGUGAGCGAAGAAGGCCUUCGGGUUGUAAAGCUCAAUAGUAUGGGAAGAUAAUGACGGUACCAUACGAAAGCCCCGGCUAACUACGUGCCAGCCGCCGCGGUAAAAC